rnacentral:lncRNA from 7 species
GUGCCAUCUUAGUUUCUUGAAGACAGAUUAUAUCCGCUCCAUAACAAUUGAGGAGCUCACGGACGCGCCUCCCCCAUCGCUGGCCAGCUCAUGGCGCCCCCGCCGCCGGAGGAUCUCCAAUGCACCGUGAACCAGCAAGCUGUUAAGGAUUAUGAGAAUCUUUUUCAGCAUUCCUUAACUCAAAGUCAUGUUGAAGCGUUAGCGGCUCUCUUUGG